UGUAGGAGCGAGCUUGCUCGCGAUAGCGGUGUGACAGUCGACUUCAUUGCUGACUGUCGGAUCGCCAUCGCGAGCAAGCUCGCUCCUACA
rnacentral:misc_RNA from 2 species